rnacentral:rRNA from 1 species
UACGUAGGGUGCGAGCGUUGUCCGGAAUUAUUGGGCGUAAAGGGCUCGUAGGCGGUUUGUCGCGUCGGGAGUGAAAACCCAGGGCUUAACCCUGGGCUGGCUUUCGAUACGGGCAGACUAGAGGUAGGUAGGGGAGAAUGGAAUUCCCGGUGUAGCGGUGAAAUGCGCAGAUAUCGGGAGGAACACCGGUGGCGAAGGCGGUUCUCUGGGCCUUACCUGACGCUGAGGAGCGAAAGCGUGGGGAGCGAACAGG